rnacentral:rRNA from 1 species
GGGCCGGGGGAAUUUGUUUAACGGGAAGAACCUUACCAGGUCUGAACAUCUUUUGCUAACCUAAGAGAUUAGGCGUUCCUUUCGGGGACAGAAUGACAGGUGGUGCAUGGUUGUCGUCAGCUCGUGUCGUGAGAUGUUGGGUUAAGUCCCGCAACGAGCGCAACCCUUAUGAUCAGUUACCAGCAUUCAGUUGGACACUCUGGUCAGACUGCCGGUGACAAACCGGAGGAAGGCGGGGAUGACGUCAAAUCAUCAUGCCCCUUAUGACCUGGGCUACACACGUGCUACAAUGGGUGGUACAACGAGCAGCGAGACCGCGAGGUCAAGCGAAUCUCUAAAAACCAUCCUCAGUUCGGAUUGCAGGCUGCAACUCGCCUGCAUGAAGCUGGAAUCGCUAGUAAUCGCGGAUCAGC